CAUUCCAAAUAAUAAUGGAGUUCUACUUCACAUACAAAUGUGGAAAACAAAGUGGACAUCAACACACCUCUAGAGGAUGAAGAACGUAUCAUCGAAUGCGAGAAGGUCCCAAGUUGCCGUGUCGGAUGGAGGAUCAUGGCAUGCCCCUUUGCCGCUUAGCUGCCAACUAUGUGGCUAUCUCCAAGCUUUGCAGACAUCACCAUCAGUUGUUGCUGCUGGAUUGGUUAUUGAUUAUCUUAUUAUAUUUCCAGCAACACAACUGUGAGAUUAAUUGAUACGUGGUUAUGCAAGGCUGCCAUGACUCCAACUCCGCCAUUUGGACUCAUAAGGACGAUUCAAGAUAAAGCCGUAAAAGUUAUUGGAAAGAUUAGGCAACGCUUGGCCUAAAUAAAGUUACUAAUUCUACCGUUCUACUACAAGGACAUAUUAGUUGUCAUGAUUAUUGGUAAGUACUAUUUGGACACAAUUUUUUCUCAAAUAUCACACACUAAGGAGCACAUGCCUUUCAAUUAAACACAUCCUUUCAAUAACCUUUACUUUUAACAAAAGUCUGUAGUGAAAUUAACUACAAACUGCCCUCAUCCUGGAAUAACCAUAUUCAAACUUAAUCAUCAUAUAGCCGUUGUUGAGGAAAAUUGUAAAAUUCUCUUUUACUCCUUUUUCCAUAAGGUAACUCAUACUUGAUUAAGUGCCCGUUAAAAUUCUCUUUUAUUCCUUUAUCUAUAAGGUAACUCAUACUUGAUUAAGUGCCCAUUUAAAUUGACUUGUUUUAGGUGUUUUAAAGCAAAAUGCUUAUAAGAACUUAUUUCUAAGUCAAAAUAACAAAAUUAAGCCAAAGUCAAUCCAAACAGGCUUUAUAUCUUCUUUGUUUUACCCCUCCAUAGUUCCCUAAUCCUUUUUGCUCUUUCAUUAUAGGAUAGAUACUAGAGCUACCAUUCUUUAAACUCACUGGUUUAAAUAACAAAGUAGUUUAAUUUGAGAAGAAAUGAAACUACGUACCACAAGAAAAAUGGAAAAGUUGUAUGUCUGCUCAUUACAAUGAUCUCGGAGAUAAUGAUACUUUAUGCCCAAUCAGUUCUUGGAUGAUCUGCAGAAUAUCCUUAUAUGUGAGGGAAAGAACACGCAAAAAAAUAUCUUACACAAAUUAGUUUUCCAAUAAGUAUUGAGUUAAGCAUUUGACAGAUUUUACUAAAUGAAUUUUAGAAACUAAUACUCUUCUUAUAAUAGGUGUAUCUAACCAAAGACAAGAUAGUUGUCAACAAGUAGAAGCGUGAUUGUGGAAAUUUGAAGACGGAGAAGAAAAACUUCUUAGAACAAUAUAAAAGUGCUCUUCUAGGCUACAAGAAUUAUAUUUAUAAAAAGAAAAAUUCAUACAGUGUCCCCUACUUUUCAUAACAUGUGUUAUGUUAGAUGGAUAUCACUUUCAAUUUUUUUGGUAUAAUGUGCUUCAUUAGUUCUUUUCAAUUUCUCAUUGUGGCUUUUCUUUAGCGUAAUAUACAUGCUUAACCUGCCUUGAGUAGAAGAAAGAGUUGUACUAUAAAGUCCAGUGGUUUCAUUAAAUAUAAUUGAACUUUAAUAGAUCAUUGAUGAAACAUAGGAGUUGAUUUCAAUUGUUGUAGUAGGAAUGUUAAUCUUUGUGAUGAAAUUUAAUAAACACAAAUGAAAGUUCUCGAGAGAAGUACAAUAAAAAAUUUUCUUUUUCAUUGUUUCGGCUAGUUACAUUUACUAUUGAUGUUGGAUAGCUUUUAUUAUUUACAAUUUGUAGUAUCAAGUUCAGAGCACCUUACUUGAAGUAGGAUUAUAGUGUUGAGUUUGGAGUACCUUUUUAUUGUAAUUUGAAAUUUUUUUUAUCUUUUCAAGUACACAGAAAGUGUAUAUUGACACCUCCUUUUCUGUGAUGUUUUCUUAAAAUUGAUAAAGUAUUGUGUAUUAUAAUUGCAAAACUAAAACCUCAUAUUGUUCAACUGCCACAAUUGUUUCAUUUGGCCAAGUUUGAGAUCUACUGAUUUUAUAGCAACAAAUUUGUGAUAUGCAUGCUGCAAGUCCAACAAACUGUUGGAGUUGAACUGUGAUGUUAAAUUAAAGAUGUGUAUAAUGUAUUAAAAUACUAUCUGAAUCUUGACGUAUUAAACAUGUUAGGUAGAAUGUUGAAUUUAGAGAGUUAUCCUAUGUAGAAACAGUCAUUGUCUAUUAAUCACAAUAAAGGACUAACUAUUUGUUGUUUUCUUCUUUUAAUUUCAUUUAGCUUGAUAUUUUAGUUGCAGGAUGGUUAACAUUGUUUU